rnacentral:ncRNA from 1 species
GUGUAUUUGGAAAUAUCCCUAAUACAGGAUCACUUGGAUCCGUCGGCGAUGACGAGCGCGAAAGAAUGCGAAAAGUCCUCACGGAAUGCUCUAAUUAUGAGAUAAUCUCAUGGAUACUCCCUGGACUUAAGCAUAUCAUUAAGGGAAGGAAAAGAAACUAACUAGGAUUCCGUUAGUAGUGGCGAAUGAACACGGAAGAGCUCCAAUGGUAAAGCCUAAGUGCUGUUGUAAUGUAGCCUCCGAAAACAUUCUGGAAAGGAUGACCACAGUGGGUGAUAGUCCCAGAGGAGGAUGUAAAGAAUAGAGUAGUGCUGCUUGGUAGUGCAGUAUGAAGAGGAGGUAGAAACUUCUAAAGCUAAAUACAGACGGAUACCGAUAGAGAAGAAGUAGUGCGAACGAAAGUUGAAAAGAUCUCAUCUAGAGAAUGAAAAGUGAAAGUAUUAGGGCGUAAGCUGAUGACAUCAGACCCGUAUUGAAACACGGACCAAGGAGACUUUGAGUAUAGCGAGGCGAAGGAUGUGAAGUCCCCACCCGCGAGAAAUCUACAAGUUAUACUGAUAGGACCCGAAAGGCAGUGAACUAUACCUGCUCUGCUUGACGCCACGGCAAAACCGUGGUUGAAGAGCUAAGUCGUAAUGAUGUUCAACUCAUUGACAGGAAGUGGGUAUUAGGGCGAAAGAACAAUCGAACUGCCUGGUAACUGGGUCCGGGCCAAAUGUCUCUCAGAACGCCGGUGUCUGCAAAUAGAAAAAUUCGUAAAAAGAAGUUCAACUUGUCACAAAUCCAAAGGGUCAUUGGGUUGAUUGCCUCCCACUGUCUUCUUUAAAAACUUUGGGCGCUUUGGUAAACUGCCGCCCAAAGGGAGAAACCUCCGGGGUAAGGCCUAAGAAAAAAAAAAA